GAGGGGGGCUGUCUAGGAGUGGAGUGGGCAUAGGCCAACUUCAAGGGUCCUGAGAGUAACAAUGACUCAGGAGGGACCUGUAAAAAAGCAUCUCGUCCUGGGGCCCAGGCAGUGACUUUGUGUACCUUGCAGCUUCAGGAGUCAGGGAGUGUGGCUAAUCCCUGCAGGCACUGGCAGGAGCCAGGAAGACUGUUCCCACCCAGUGAGAAGGAGGUGAGUGAGUCACUGAGGUUGAUGACCAACUCCCUUCUGGGGAGCCCUACAGCCUGAUGCAGGGAGCAGGAGUGAGCUGUCUUGCUGGAGCAUUCAGGUCUCAGAAGACUCCUGUUGGAAAAUUUAGUCCUGGGAACUUUCAUCUACAACCUCCUUGGAGAUUGUGGUGAGAAAAAUGCAAUACAUAGUUCAUCUCUGGGCAGCUGCCUUUGAUGAGUGAUUCCAUGCCAGAGAAGGACAGGGAGGACAAUAUGUGGACAUAAAAGGACUCAGCAAGGAGACACUGGAGGGGAGUCCUGAUGAGGAAGACGGAACCACGGACAUCUUCUUGUCACCUUUCUCCAUGGGAUCUGAGCUUGGAGUAUGACUGAGCCUUUGGUGAAACCCUGAGCCACAGCACAUGUUCAGGCAUCUCUGGGGUGCCCUAGGAUCUUGCCCCCAUCCUAUGACCACUCCUAGUUUGGGGUCUAAGCAGUGUCAUGAAGAGGAAGCAAAGAUAGCAAGCACAACAUGGACCCACUGGCGAUAUCUAACUUGGAGAAUGUGCAAGUCCCUUAAAUAGAAUGGCAUAUUUGCAUAUAAGGUUGCACAAGCCCUGCUUUCAUAUACACUGACUCCAUUCUGGAGAAAGGAAAUGGAAGGAAAGAAGAGUUAAAAAUGGAACCUGUAUUCCCUAAACCCUGAGUCAUUCAAAAGAGACCAUGUACAGUGGAACAGAUGGUAGAUGAACUUGUAAGUUGGCAAGUUUUGAGUUUGGUUUCUCUUCAACUCUC
rnacentral:lncRNA from 1 species